rnacentral:rRNA from 1 species
GACGAACGCUGGCGGCGUGCUUAACACAUGCAAGUCGAACGAAGUGGCGAACGGGUGAGUAACGCGUAAUCAACCUGCCCUUCAGAGGGGGACAACAGGUGGAAACGACUGCUAAUACGUCAUACGGAAGGAGGGGAGUGCGUCUGAUUCGCUAGUGGGAGGGGUAACGGCCAACCAAGGCGAUGAACAGUAGCCGGUCUGAGAGGAUGAACCGCCACAUUGGGACUGAGACACGGCCCAGACUCCUACGGGAGGCAGCAGUGGGGAAUCUUCCGCAAUGGAGGAAAGUCUGACGCAGCAACGCCGCGUGAGUGAUGACGGCCUUCGGGUUGUAAAGCUCUUUAAAUCGGGACGCGGUACCGGAAGAGAAAGCCCCGGCUAACUACGUGCCAGCAGCCGCGGUAAUAC